rnacentral:rRNA from 1 species
UAGGGAAUCUUCGGCAAUGGGGGCAACCCUGACCGAGCAACGCCGCGUGAGUGAAGAAGGUUUUCGGAUCGUAAAGCUCUGUUGUAAGAGAAGAACGUGUGUGAGAGUGGAAAGUUCACACAGUGACGGUAACUUACCAGAAAGGGACGGCUAACUACGUGCCAGCAGCCGCGGUAAUACGUAGGUCCCGAGCGUUGUCCGGAUUUAUUGGGCGUAAAGCGAGCGCAGGCGGUUUAAUAAGUCUGAAGUUAAAGGCAGUGGCUUAACCAUUGUUCGCUUUGGAAACUGUUAAACGUGAGUGCAGAAGGGGAGAGUGGAAUUCCAUGUGUAGCGGUGAAAUGCGUAGAUAUAUGGAGGAACACCGGUGGCGAAAGCGGCUCUCUGGUCUGUAACUGACGCUGAGGCUCGAAAGCGUGGGGAGCAAACAGG